GCGCGGGCGGGUGCGCCGGGACUGCUGGACGGCCAGGGUCCAGCCUGCGGGGUCUGCCUCCUAGCAAAUUAUUGGAAGGAACAUGAGAAAAAUCAUUUACCUGACUUCUCUCUGGGAAGGUGAACCCGACGCGACGCGCUCUCCCUGUUUCCCUCGCCAAGUGCAGCUGCCCGCGUUUGCACAUGGAGACUUGAACCCACAGAGGGCUCUAAAAGGUGAACAAUGAGACAUCAGACCAGAAAGGGUCACUGGGACUCCUGGAAGGACAUGGUAGUGAGUUCCUGAGUUCCUUUUGCCUCGUAUUUCCCUGACUGGGUCUGGAGAAGCCAGGACCUGGACACAUCAGCAGGGACAGGGAGGACCCCUCAAGUCAAAGCAGCAGGACAGAGUGGGCAGAGAGGAAACCGGACAUUCUCAGAAGACAGACAACCAGGCAGUCUGUCACCAGCAGAUCUGCUCUAAAGAAUAGUUCAAGUGUCUUAAAGAGAAAGCAAAUUAUAAAUUAGGGAAUCUUGGGUCGCCCUGGAGGAAAGAAAACACAAAAAGACAUAUUUAUGGCCAUUACCAGGACUUUUCUAUAAUAAAGGAGAUGAAGGCUAUGGAAGAAGAACUUGCAAGUUCAGCAGACCGUCAACUCCCUGUGCCAGCGUGUCUCCACGUGGUGCUUGCACUCAUUGCAGGUGUAGACAAAGCGGUCCUGGCUCUGUGUGUGCAGUUCCACCAGCAUGCACAUGGUGGACCACUGGGCUCGUCGGAGUGAAGAGAACUCCAGAUGCUUGUCCCGGGCCAGGGUAUAAUGUAUCUAUCUUUCCCACUUGAUUCAAUAAAUCCUUCAAAAAUAAGAAUGGUCUAGAUCAGGCCCAGUAUACAUUUUGCUUCAAGACAGUCUAAGAUGGAACUAAUGGUUUAACCUGAAUCUAAUUGCGAGCAAACAAUCACAAAGCUCAAAAAGAGAAAGUCUGCUUAACUACUCAUCAAGAAAAUACUCAUGUCUCUGAAGAAAAAGCUGGCAACAAUUCAAAAUGAAAGGCAACUCAACACAAUUUGACUCAAUAUCCUGGAAUAGAACACAGGACCAGACAUUAGAUGGUGACACUAGGUGCAGACCUGAUCCUUCAUUAAGGUGAUUGAUGCAUCCCUAACAUUCUGCCUAGAAGAGCCUCACAGUGCACAGACCCCGAUGAUGGAACAAAGCCCAGAUCUUGGCUAAGAAACAAGGAAUGGCUGUAUGGGGUAGUAAAGAGUGCAUGGAGCGGGUGAUCCAUAAGACCUUGGUUUUGUAUCCUACCAACUUUCAUUCUAGAAUUGUAUGAGCCUAUAAAACAAACCAACAAAAAAGCUCCAACCCAUCCUGAAAAACCAAAUAUUUUAAACUAAAAGGCUAUGUAGAAUUUGUAUGUGUGUGUAUAUGGUGUUGGGGAUUAAACCCAGGGCCUCAUCCAUACUAGGCAAGCGUUCUACGCUCUACCACUAAGCCAACAUCACAUCCCCAACCCUAGGAUUUCUUUAUAAGUCAGAAAUCUAAUUAGGACUCCAAUUAAAAAAAAAAAAAAAAAAAA